GACGAACGCUGGCGGCGCGCCUAACACAUGCAAGUCGAACGAGCGGGAGAGAGCUUGCUUUCUUGAGCGAGUGGCGAACGGGUGAGUAACGCGUGAGGAACCUGCCUCAAAGAGGGGGACAACAGUUGGAAACGACUGCUAAUACCGCAUAAGCCCACGACCCGGCAUCGGGUUGAGGGAAAAGGAGCAAUCCGCUUUGAGAUGGCCUCGCGUCCGAUUAGCUAGUUGGUGAGGUAACGGCCCACCAAGGCGACGAUCGGUAGCCGGACUGAGAGGUUGAACGGCCACAUUGGGACUGAGACACGGCCCAGACUCCUACGGGAGGCAGCAGUGGGGAAUAUUGCACAAUGGGGGAACCCUGAUGCAGCGACGCCGCGUGGAGGAAGAAGGUCUUCGGAUUGUAAACUCCUGUUGUUGAGGAAGAUAAUGACGGUACUCAACAAGGAAGUGACGGCUAACUACGUG
rnacentral:rRNA from 1 species